rnacentral:lncRNA from 1 species
UCUGGUUUGCUUGUCUUAAUGUUAUUUGAAUGUCUGUAUGACAGUUGUAGGUAUCCAGUAGAAGUCAUGAAACAACUUAGUGAACUAGCCAAAGAAAUGGAUGAAGAAAUAAGCUAAUUAUGAAUAAAGAAUGCAGUGGGUCAGGAGAUUAUUGAUGUUUGUCAACAGAAUCAACACACAUGUUUGUACAAGCAAAAUUAUGACACUCUAUA